GGAAACGGGAAUUAAUACCCCAUAAUGUUUGGUUGUGGCUUCACAAGCAGACCAAAGCUUCGGCGGUUGUAGAUGGCCAUGCGUACCAUUAGUUAGUUGGUGAGGUAACGGCUCACCAAGGCAGCGAUGGUUAGGGGUCCUGAGAGGGUAGUCCCCCACACUGGUACUGAGACACGGACCAGACUCCUACGGGAGGCAGCAGUGAGGAAUAUUGGUCAAUGGGCGCUAGCCUGAACCAGCCAUGCCGCGCGCAGGAAGACGGCCCUACGGGUUGUAAACUGCUUUUCUGCGGGAAGAACCUCUUGUACUUGUACAGGAUUGACGGUACUGCAGGAAUAAGCAUCGGCUAACUCCGUGCCAGCAGCCGCGGUAAUACGGAGGAUGCAAGCGUUAUCCGGAUUCAUUGGGUUUAAAGGGUGCGCAGGCGGUGGAGCAAGUCAGUGGUGAAAGCCCGGAGCUCAACUUCGGGAUUGCCAUUGAAACUGUUUCACUUGAGUGUAGUCGAGGACGGCGGAAUGAGUUGUGUAGCGGUGAAAUGCAUAGAUAUAACUCAGAACACCAAUUGCGAAGGCAGCUGUCUAGACUACAACUGACGCUGAGGCACGAAAGCGUGGGGAGCGAACAGGAUUAGAUACCCUGGUAGUCCACGCUGUAAACGAUGAUCACUCGUUGUUGGCUACUUGGUAGUCAGUGACUAAGGGAAACCAUUAAGUGAUCCACCUGGGGAGUACGUCGGCAACGAUGGAACUCAAAGGAAUUGACGGGGGCCCGCACAAGCGGAGGAACAUGUGGUUUAAGUCGAUGAUACGCGAGGAACCUUACCUGGGCUUAAAUGCAGGCUGCAUUCCCGUGAAAGCGGGAUUUCCUACGGGACUGCCUGCAAGGUGCUGCAUGGUUGUCGUCAGCUCGUGCCGUGAGGUGUCGGGUUAAGUCCCAUAACGAGCGCAACCCCUAUCGCUAGUUGCCAGCAUGUAAUGGUGGGGACUCUAGCGAGACUGCCGGUGUUUACCGGAGGAAGGUGGGGACGACGUCAAAUCAGCACGGCCCUUACGUCCAGGGCUACACACGUGUUACAAUGGCCGGUACAAAGAGCAGCCACCUGGCGACAGGGUGCUAAUCUCCAAAGCCGGUCUCAGUUCGGAUCGAAGUCGGCAAUUCGACUUCGUGAAGGUGGAUUCGCUA
rnacentral:rRNA from 1 species